rnacentral:rRNA from 1 species
AACGUAGGUGGCAAGCGUUAUCCGGAAUCACUGGGCGUAAAGGGUGCGUAGGCGGGUCUUUAAGUCAGGGGUGAAAUCCUGGAGCUCAACUCCAGAACUGCCUUUGAUACUGAAGAUCUUGAGUUCGGGAGAGGUGAGUGGAACUGCGAGUGUAGAGGUGAAAUUCGUAGAUAUUCGCAAGAACACCAGUGGCGAAGGCGGCUCACUGGCCCGAUACUGACGCUGAGGCACGAAAGCGUGGGGAGCAAACAGG